UGCGUACUCCCUCCGUUCCAAAAUACUUGACUUCCAUUUGUCCAAAAAUGGAUGUACCUAUAUACUAAAACAUGUCUAGAUACAUAUAUAUUUUGACAAAUAGAAGGCAUGUAUUGUGCAACGGAGGGAGUAGAAU
rnacentral:pre_miRNA from 1 species